CACGCAUAUUGACCAACAGCGGUCUCUACCAGUUGUUCUUCCGGAAUGUUGUCCCCAUCGGAUGUCACCUUUUCGGUGACAGUGGUUACCCCUGUAAGAAGUGGCUUCUAACCCCUUUCCUAAGACCAUUGGCAGGACCACAAACAAACUACAACAGAUCGCAUAAAAGAACAAGGAGCAGUUUUGAAAGGGCCAUUGGCCAAUUCAAGUGCAGAUUUCCUGUUCUUCAUGGGGAAAUCAGGUUACAACCUGAUAAGGCUUGCAAGGUGAUCAUAGCAUGUGCUGUCCUUCACAACAUAUGCAAGGACAGGAACAUUCCUUUACCACCCACAGAUAGGCAUGAUGGGUUUGGAAGGCAUGAUGGGCAGAAUGGAGGUCUACCAGGAAUCACUCCACCAGUGGCUGCACUGAGAUAUAGGGAGCACUUGGCCAAUACAAACUUUCCAUAUCUUUCACUGUGUGG